CCUACGGGAGGCAGCAGUGAGGAAUAUUGGUCAAUGGACGAGAGUCUGAACCAGCCAAGUAGCGUGAAGGAUGACUGCCCUAUGGGUUGUAAACUUCUUUUAUAUGGGAAUAAAACGUUCCACGUGUGGGAUUUUGUAUGUACCAUAUGAAUAAGGAUCGGCUAACUCCGUGCCAGCAGCCGCGGUAAUCCGGAGGAUCCGAGCGUUAUCCGGAUUUAUUGGGUUUAAAGGGAGCGUAGGUGGAUUGUUAAGUCAGUUGUGAAAGUUUGCGGCUCAACCGUAAAAUUGCAGUUGAAACUGGCAGUCUUGAGUACAGUAGAGGUGGGCGGAAUUCGUGGUGUAGCGGUGAAAUGCUUAGAUAUCACGAAGAACUCCGAUUGCGAAGGCAGUUCACUGGACUGCAACUGACACUGAGGCUCGAAAGUGUGGGUAUCAAACAGGAUUAGAUACCCUAGUAGUC
rnacentral:rRNA from 1 species